UACGUAGGUGGCAAGCGUUAUCCGGACUUACUGGGUGUAAAGGGCGUGUAGGCGGGAGUGCAAGUCAGAUGUGAAAACCACGGGCUCAACCUGUGGCCUGCAUUUGAAACUGUACUUCUUGAGUACUGGAGAGGCAGACGGAAUUCCUAGUGUAGCGGUGAAAUGCGUAGAUAUUAGGAGGAACACCAGUGGCGAAGGCGGUCUGCUGGACAGCAACUGACGCUGAGGCGCGAAAGCGUGGGGAGCAAACAGG
rnacentral:rRNA from 1 species